UACAUCUUGGUGUAUGGUGCACACCAGCUUUUGAUGUUCGGUGGUGGUAGUUUGAUUCUGUUAGAUGUAA
rnacentral:tRNA from 1 species